UCCAGGCUGUAACUUUUUAGAAGAGAAAGU
rnacentral:piRNA from 2 species